rnacentral:rRNA from 1 species
AGUGAACGCUGGCGGUAGGCCUAACACAUGCAAGUCGAACGGCAGCACAGUAAGAGCUUGGUCUUACGGGUGGCGAGUAGCGGACCGUUGAGGAAUACAUCGGAAUCUACUUUUUCGUGGGGGAUAACGUAAGGAAACUUCCGCUAAUACCGCAUACGACCUACGGGUGAAAGCAGGGGUUCUUCGGACCUUGCGCGAUUGAAUGAGCCGAUGUCGGAUGAGCUAUUUGGCGGGGUAAAGGCCCACCAAGGCCACGACUCGUAGUUGGUCUGAGAGGACGAUCAGCAACACUGGAAGUGAGAGAGGGCAAAGACUACAAAUGGAGGCACCAGUUGGGAAUAUGGGAAAAUGGGCGCAAGCCUGAUCAAGUCAUACCGCGGGGGUGAAGAGAGCGUUCGCGUUGUAAAGUCCGUUUGUUGGGAAAGAAAAGCAGUAGGGUAAAAGCGCGCUGUUCUGACGGUACCCAAAGAAUAAGCACCGGCUAACUUCGUG